ensembl:lncRNA
GGAAGGAAAGAAGGAAAUAAGGAAAGAAGGAACGAAGGGUUGCUAAAUCCUGUUCCAUUUUAGCAAUAUGUAAUAUUUAUCAACAGAUACAUGAGCUAGUGGGGAAAAACGCUCUGCCUGUAUUACGAAGAGAUUAUUUUCCAAUAACACUUUACUUUUUAUGUGUAAUACUUAUUUAUCAUAGUUUGUAAUAUGUUUGUGUCAUUUAUAUCUAAGUGUGUACUACUAAUCAUUGUAAUAAUCACUUAACCCAGAAAAUAUUUUUUUAAAAUUGAGAAUAUUAUAGUCAAAUAGAAUUAAAAAUUAAGUUUAAAUUUCAAUUUAUAUACUCACUUUGUUGCAGAUGGUAACCAAUAAAAUAUUUUCAAGCAUAAAAAUAUUACAUUAGGGUAAUAUUUUGAGAAGGAAGUAGAAUGGGAACAGAAGUUUAUGUAGGAAAAGAAAUGAUGCAAAAUAUCUGUAAAACAAAAGUUUGUUCUUGUACUUGUGAAAUGUAUGAUGAUGGGUAGAAAACUGCUAUAGUAUUUAAAAGAUAACAUAAAAGUGGUGUUUGGUUGGUCAUAAAAAGUAUAACUGAUGCAUAAUAUCUGAAAUUACAUACUGUAUAAUCAUUUAAAUUUAAGAUAAAAAUUUUAGAUGUGAACUUAAAAAUGUGCGUGGAGUACGUAGGUUUUCAGUGUUCUUUAGGUGGCGCAUAAGUGAAAAGUGAAGACCAUUAGUCCUCAAGAGAGUACCAUCUCCAUCCAAUCCCCAAAACUUCCCUUCUCUCUCCACUGUGGUUUCUACCAAUUCCUCUGGAUGGUGUGGGAAAAAAAAAGUAUGAGAGGAAGCAAAGGCUUUGUUGACACAUCAAAGAAUCCUUUUGAAACACUAAAUGUGAAAUAAGGAUCUCCAUUUCCCAGAGGUAUAUCCACAUUUCUAGAGGCCCCACAGGGUACAUGCAAGCCCUAAUUAAAUGCAACACGUCUGUGGGUGAUACUGAUUAUUUGUCAACAUGAGGAGAAACUAAGGAAGUUCCAGUAACUUUCCCCAAGGCAUCUUCCUAGCAAUAGAUAUUCAAAACAUUCACUGGCUCUGGAAUGGAGGAAGCAGGUUAAAUAUUUUGCUCCUAAGGUCCAUAGUUUCAGACCCCUAACCUUCCGAAGUUAGAAGUUGUUACAGGAUAUGUUUUGUUGUGUGCUAAUCACUUCUCAUCAGAUACUGGAAGAGCCCUCCCGUGGCCCUAAUGUGUUCUGAACUCAAGAAAUUCUAUAAAAAGCUCAAGUUGAAUAAUCAGGGAAGAAAACCCAAAAGUUUCAAUUAUUAAAACUUAAGAAACUAUUUGAAGAUUGAUUUAAUGCUGGUUAUGCAAUCUCCCAAGGAACAUUUCCAUCAAUAUAAUCUUACAAAAUUCCUCUUGAUUACAAUCUGUAGGUUUGAUUGGACAAUGUUUCCUUCAACAGGACUGCCUAGCAUUUUAGAACAAUUUUCAGUCAUCUAAACAGGAGCACUCAAAAUUAGUCCUUCAGAUACAGAGGUAAUCUAAAGGAAGAAAUAACAAAACAAAACAAUAACAAUAAACUCCCUUUUGGUAAACAGAACAUUUUUAGUUAGAUGGCUGCAUCUUAAAGAGGUGGUCAGCUGGCUCCAGUAUAUUUUAGCAAGUAUUGGUAUUUAUUAUACAAAGUUAAUCCAAUGCUUAAUACCAACCACUUACGUUUUAAUUUGGAAUUACUGUCGCUGCUGUGUACAUGACUAAAACAGUAAUUAAGAGUCAGCAGGGCUCAUGAACAAUUAGAUUAAAAUGUUGCUGAGGUGUAAUAUAUAAAGUAGUCCCCCUAAUUAGAGAUACCCCCAUUGUGAAUGAGCAGCCACAUGAGUCAUCACCUCAGGUAUGAGAGAGGGAUGAGAGGAAGGAUGAGAAAGGUGCAAAUUCAUGGCCUCCUUAAGGCCAAAUGUCUUUUACUGCACUGUUGGUAACAUGCUGGUGAUGACCUAGAGGCAAGAAUCUCUUACAUGGAAAACAUGUCUUUUUCUAUGCCCCUUUGCUAAGGGCAGACAGCUUUCUACAGCUACUUCUCCAUGCCUUUAGGUGGGGAGUGGUUUUUCUGGCAUUCCUAAUUGGAAUUCAUAAUAUAUUUUUCCAUGGCAACAUCGCAGAAAGUAUAGGUGUAAUUAGUUUGUAUUUUAAUAGUAAACUUCAGCUUUGCAGAACGCUCGGAUUUUUGUUACUCUAGCUGGAUGAACUUUGCUUGGAGCUGAAUGCAUACUCCUUUCAAAUGCGUAGUCAAUGCUAUUUUCUUUUAAAUGUUAGCAAUUUAGGUAUCAAGUUUUCUAAAAUGCACAAUUGUGAGUUGUUUUAAAAAGCACGAUUUUGUCGGCUGUGGGAUGGUUAUUGUAAUUCUUACAAGGAGAUAUAACACAGUGAUGCUCUCAGGAAGUCUACAGGUAAGCAGCACUGCCUACCUUAUUGGAAAAGGUGAUAGACAACUGUGCUUUGACUUGUCUGCCUUCUCUGUCCUAUCCUGCCUUCAGGCUGUCAGCAAUCACAUCUUGAUUUUUUUCUGCAGGCCUCCUUUUACCAUCCUUCGUCACCCUUCAAAUCCAAUCGAACAUCAUCUGGAUUCAACUGACCGCAAGGGGAAAAGUUUACUUCCAGAAAAUUAUGCCAGGAGCAACUUCUUAUUUCCUCAUUUCUAGCAUGUACUUUUCUGCAAAUACGUCAAUAUGUCUGAAAUCAGGAUGUGAAAAUGAUUCAUACAUUUAAUGCAAUAGUCUUUUUCCCCUUAAAUGCUGUUAUUAAAUUCAUGGGGUAAUCAUACAGCAUCUUAAAAUUGAAAAGCUAUAUUAUUUUUUUUUCAGAUGAUAAAUGCCUUCAAAACUUUCAAGUUAACCAUUUUAAGGGUCUAGAAAAUAAUUCUUUUUUUUUGUUUGUUUGAGAUGGAGUUUCACUCUUGUUGCCCAGGCUGGAGUGCAAUGGUGUGAUCUUGGCUCACCACAACCUCUGCCUCCCAGGUUCAAGUGAUUCUCCUGCCUCAGCCUCCCAAGUAGCUGGGAUUACAGGCAUGCACCAGCACACCAAGCUAAUUUUUUAUUUUUGAUAGAGACAGGGUUUCUUCAUGUUGGUCAGGCUGGUCUCAAACUCUCAACCUCAGGUGAUCCACCCACCUUGGCCUCCCAAAGUGCUGGGAUUACAGGCGUGAGCUACCAUGCCUGGCCUAGAAAAUGAUUCUUAAAUGCUUCUCCAACAUGUUUCUGACCUGGGCUCCAUCUUUGAUAUAUCGAUUCUCCACCCAUAAUGCCACUGGAAAUAAGAGCACAGCCGAGACAGCCAAUAGCUGGAUCCUUUACUUCUGAGAUUAAAUCCCUAAGGAUCAGCUAGGGUCUGUGUCACAGAUCCAACAUUCCUUGCAUGGAUUUGCUACAGUAGAACAUAACCCAUUUGAAGCAAGUGUAAUCUGAAAACAUUCAAUAUGUGGUGAAAGUCAUAUUUUGUUGUUUUCAUAGUUUCAGUUUAACAUUAGCAGAUCAUCUAGUUUUUAUUAAUGAGACAGUAAACUUUAACAUAAAUGGAUGGGUCAUUUCAUAGUUUUAUAAAGGUACUUAAAUUUUCCCAACAUUUUCCUCAUCUGUAAUGUGAAAUUAGUAGUACCUACAGUAUAUAGGUGCUCUAAAGUUUGUUACCCAUUGAAAAAAAUUGUCCCCAAAUUCUUUGUAGAAUAAA